AUUGAACGCUGGCGGCAUGCUUUACACAUGCAAGUCGAACGGCAGCGCGGGCUUCGGCCUGGCGGCGAGUGGCGAACGGGUGAGUAAUGCAUCGGAACGUGCCCAGUAGUGGGGGAUAGCCCGGCGAAAGCCGGAUUAAUACCGCAUACGACCUGAGGGUGAAAGCGGGGGACCGAAAGGCCUCGCGCUAUUGGAGCGGCCGAUGUCGGAUUAGCUAGUUGGUGGGGUAAAGGCUUACCAAGGCGACGAUCCGUAGCUGGUCUGAGAGGGCGACCAGCCACACUGGGACUGAGACACGGCCCAGACUCCUACGGGAGGCAGCAGUGGGGAAUUUUGGACAAUGGGGGCAACCCUGAUCCAGCCAUGCCGCGUGCGGGAAGAAGGCCUUCGGGUUGUAAACCGCUUUUGUUCGGGAAGAAAACCUCUGGGCUAAUACCCCGGGGGGAUGACGGUACCGGAAGAAUAAGCACCGGCUAACUACGUG
rnacentral:rRNA from 1 species